rnacentral:rRNA from 1 species
GAUGAACGCUGGCGGCGUGCCUAAUACAUGCAAGUCGAGCGAACAGACGAGGAGCUUGCUCCUCUGACGUUAGCGGCGGACGGGCGAGUAACACGUGGAUAACCUACCUAUAAGACUGGGAUAACUUCGGGAAACCGGAGCUAAUACCGGAUAAUAUAUUGAACCGCAUGGUUCAAUAGUGAAAGACGGUUUUGCUGUCACUUAUAGAUGGAUCCGCGCCGCAUUAGCUAGUUGGUAAGGUAACGGCUUACCAAGGCAACGACGCGUAGCCGACCUGAGAGGGUGAUCGGCCACACUGGAACUGAGACACGGUCCAGACUCCUACGGGAGGCAGCAGUAGGGAAUCUUCCGCAAUGGGCGAAAGCUUGACGGAGCAACGCCGCGUGAGUGAUGAAGGUCUUCGGAUCGUAAAACUCUGUUAUUAGGGAAGAACAAAUGUGUAAGUAACUAUGCACGUCUUGACGGUACCUAAUCAGAAAGCCACGGCUAACUACGUG